UGCGUAGGCGGCGCGGUAAGUGAGGUGUGAAAGCCCACGGCUCAACCGUGGAACUGCGCUUCAUACUGCCGUGCUUGAGGGAGACAGAGGUAAGCGGAACUGAUGGUGGAGCGGUGAAAUGCGUUGAUAUCAUCAGGAACACCAGUGGCGAAAGCGGCUUACUGGGUCUCUUCUGACGCUGAGGCACGAAAGCUAGGGGAGCGAAC
rnacentral:rRNA from 1 species